rnacentral:rRNA from 1 species
GACGAACGCUGGCGGCGUGCUUAACACAUGCAAGUCGAACGGAAAGGCCCUGCUUUUGUGGGGUGCUCGAGUGGCGAACGGGUGAGUAACACGUGAGUAACCUGCCCUUGACUUUGGGAUAACUUCAGGAAACUGGGGCUAAUACCGGAUAGGAGCUCCUGCUGCAUGGUGGGGGUUGGAAAGUUUCGGCGGUUGGGGAUGGACUCGCGGCUUAUCAGCUUGUUGGUGGGGUAGUGGCUUACCAAGGCUUUGACGGGUAGCCGGCCUGAGAGGGUGACCGGCCACAUUGGGACUGAGAUACGGCCCAGACUCCUACGGUAGGCAGCAGUGGGGAAUAUUGCACAAUGGUCGGAAGCCUGAUGCAGCAACGCCGCGUGCGGGAUGACGGCCUGCGGGUUGUAAACCGCUUUCUCCUGUGACGAGGCGUGAGUGACGGUAAUGUGUAAAGAAGCACCGGCUAACUACGUG